GAGUAAAGAUUUCGGUCGCUUUGGGAGGAGCUCGCUUACUAUCAGCUUGUUGGUAGGGUAAUGGCCUACCAAGGCUAUGACGGUUAGGGGGUGUGAGAGCAUGACCCCCAGCAUUGGCACUGAAACACUGGCCAAACACCUACGGGUGGCUGCAGUCGAGAAUCUUCCACAAUGGGGGAAACCCUGAUGGAGCGAUGCUGCGUGCGGGAUGAAGGCCUUCGGGUUGUAAACCGCUUUUGUAGGGGACGAAAUUUUUGACGGUACCCUUUCGAAUAAGAGGUUGCUAACUCUGUGCCAGCUGCAGCGGUAAUACAGAGACCUCAAGCGUUAUCCGGAUUUACUGGGCGUAAAGCGUCUGUAGGGGGUUUAUUAAGUUCCAAGUAAAAUUUCAAGGCUCAACUUUGAAUUCGCUUGGAAAACUAAUAAACUGGAGUCUAGCAGAGGUGCAUGGAACUUGUGGUGUAGGAGUGAAAUCCGUUGAUAUCACAAGGAACACCAAAGGCGAAGGCAUUGCACUGGGCUAGCACUGACCCUGAGAGACGAAAGCGUGGGGAGCAAAACGGAUUAGAUACCCGUGUAGUCCACGCCCUAAACGAUGAAUGCUAAAUGUUCGGGGAUUCGACCCCCUGGGUGUUACAGCUAACGCGUUAAGCAUUCCGCCUGGGAAGUACGGCCGCAAGGCUAAAACUCAAAGGAAUAGACGGGGAUCCGCACAAGCGGUGGAGCGUCUGGUUUAAUUCGACAGUAAGCGUAGUACCUCACCAGGGUUUGACAUCCCUUGACAGCCUUGGAAACAAGGUUUCCUUCGGGCAAGGUGACAGGUGCUGCAUGGUCGUCGUCAGUUCGUGCCGUGAGGUGUUCCGUUAAGUCGGGAAACGAACGAAACUCCUAUUGCAUGUUACAAUUUCUCAUGCAAGACUGCCCGGAUAUACUGGGAGGAAGGUGGGGAUGACGUCAGAUCUGCAUGGUCCUUAUACCCUGGGCGACACAGGCGCUACAAUGGCAGAGACAAAGGGUUGCAAAACCGCAAGGUGAAGCUAAUCCCAAAAACUUUGUCUAAGUUCGGAUUGAAGGCUGCAAUUCGCCUUCAUGAAGCUGGAAUCGCUAGUAAUCGUGAAUCAGCCACGUCACGGUGAAUAUGUUCCCGGAUCUUGUACUCACCGCCCGUCACACCAAGAGAGUUGGUAGCUCCCGAAG
rnacentral:rRNA from 1 species